ensembl:rRNA 5S_rRNA 5S ribosomal RNA
GUCUACGGCCAUGCCACCCUGAACAUACCUGAUCUCGUCUGAUCUCUGAAGCUAAGCAAGGUCGGGCCUGGUUUUAGUACUUGGAUGGGAGACCACCUAGGAAUACCGGGUGCUGUAGGCU